rnacentral:rRNA from 1 species
GGGUUGUGAGGUUAAGCGACUAAGCGUACACGGUGGAUGCCCUGGCAGUCAGAGGCGAUGAAGGACGUGCUAAUCUGCGAAAAGCGUCGGUAAGGUGAUAUGAACCGUUAUAACCGGCGAUGUCCGAAUGGGGAAACCCAGUGCAAUUCGUUGCACUAUCGUUAACUGAAUACAUAGGUUAACGAGGCGAACCGGGGGAACUGAAACAUCUAAGUACCCCGAGGAAAGAAAUCAACCGAGAUUCCCCCAGUAGCGGCGAGCGAACGGGGAGCAGCCCAGAGUCUGAAUCAGCUUGUGUGUUAGUGGAACGGUCUGGAAAGUCCGACGGUACAGGGUGAUAGUCCCGUACACCAAAAUGCACAGGUUGUGAACUCGAAGAGUAGGGCGGGACACGUGGUAUCCUGUCUGAAUAUGGGGGGACCAUCCUCCAAGGCUAAAUACUCCUGACUGACCGAUAGUGAACCAGUACCGUGAGGGAAAGGCGAAAAGAACCCCGGCGAGGGGAGUGAAAAAGAACCUGAAACCGUGUACGUACAAGCAGUGGGAGCACCUUCGGGUGUGACUGCGUACCUUUUGUAUAAUGGGUCAGCGACUUAUAUUCUGUAGCAAGGUUAACCGUAUAGGGGAGCCGCAGGGAAACCGAGUCUUAACUGGGCGUUAAGUUGCAGGGUAUAGACCCGAAACCCGGUGAUCUAGCCAUGGGCAGGUUGAAGGUUGGGUAACACUAACUGGAGGACCGAACCGACUAAUGUUGAAAAAUUAGCGGAUGACUUGUGGCUGGGGGUGAAAGGCCAAUCAAACCGGGAGAUAGCUGGUUCUCCCCGAAAGCUAUUUAGGUAGCGCCUCGUGAACUCAUCUUCGGGGGUAGAGCACUGUUUCGGCUAGGGGGUCAUCCCGACUUACCAACCCGAUGCAAACUACGAAUACCGAAGAAUGUUAUCACGGGAGACACACGGCGGGUGCUAACGUCCGUCGUGAAGAGGGAAACAACCCAGACCGCCAGCUAAGGUCCCAAAGUCAUGGUUAAGUGGGAAACGAUGUGGGAAGGCACAGACAGCCAGGAUGUUGGCUUAGAAGCAGCCAUCAUUUAAAGAAAGCGUAAUAGCUCACUGGUCGAGUCGGCCUGCGCGGAAGAUGUAACGGGGCUAAACCAUGCACCGAAGCUGCGGCAGCGACACUAUGUGUUGUUGGGUAGGGGAGCGUUCUGUAAGCCUGCGAAGGUGUGCUGUGAGGCAUGCUGGAGGUAUCAGAAGUGCGAAUGCUGACAUAAGUAACGAUAAAGCGGGUGAAAAGCCCGCUCGCCGGAAGACCAAGGGUUCCUGUCCAACGUUAAUCGGGGCAGGGUGAGUCGACCCCUAAGGCGAGGCCGAAAGGCGUAGUCGAUGGGAAACAGGUUAAUAUUCCUGUACUUGGUGUUACUGCGAAGGGGGGACGGAGAAGGCUAUGUUAGCCGGGCGACGGUUGUCCCGGUUUAAGCAUGUAGGCUGAUUGUCCAGGCAAAUCCGGAUAAUCAAGGCUGAGGUGUGAUGACGAGGCACUACGGUGCUGAAGUAACAAAUGCCCUGCUUCCAGGAAAAGCCUCUAAGCAUCAGGUAACAUUAAAUCGUACCCCAAACCGACACAGGUGGUCAGGUAGAGAAUACCAAGGCGCUUGAGAGAACUCGGGUGAAGGAACUAGGCAAAAUGGUGCCGUAACUUCGGGAGAAGGCACGCUGGUGUGUAGGUGAAGUCCCUGCGGAUGGAGCUGAGACCAGUCGAAGAUACCAGCUGGCUGCAACUGUUUAUUAAAAACACAGCACUGUGCAAACACGAAAGUGGACGUAUACGGUGUGACGCCUGCCCGGUGCCGGAAGGUUAAUUGAUGGGGUUAUCCGUAAGGAGAAGCUCUUGAUCGAAGCCCCGGUAAACGGCGGCCGUAACUAUAACGGUCCUAAGGUAGCGAAAUUCCUUGUCGGGUAAGUUCCGACCUGCACGAAUGGCGUAAUGAUGGCCAGGCUGUCUCCACCCGAGACUCAGUGAAAUUGAACUCGCUGUGAAGAUGCAGUGUACCCGCGGCAAGACGGAAAGACCCCGUGAACCUUUACUAUAGCUUGACACUGAACAUUGAGCCUUGAUGUGUAGGAUAGGUGGGAGGCUUUGAAGCGUGGACGCCAGUCUGCGUGGAGCCAACCUUGAAAUACCACCCUUUAAUGUUUGAUGUUCUAACGUUGGCCCCUGACCGGGGUUGCGGACAGUGUCUGGUGGGUAGUUUGACUGGGGCGGUCUCCUCCCAAAGCGUAACGGAGGAGCACGAAGGUUAGCUAAUCCUGGUCGGACAUCAGGAGGUUAGUGCAAUGGCAUAAGCUAGCUUGACUGCGAGCGUGACGGCGCGAGCAGGUGCGAAAGCAGGUCAUAGUGAUCCGGUGGUUCUGAAUGGAAGGGCCAUCGCUCAACGGAUAAAAGGUACUCCGGGAUAACAGGCUGAUACCGCCCAAGAGUUCAUAUCGACGGCGGUGUUUGGCACCUCGAUGUCGGCUCAUCACAUCCUGGGGCUGAAGUAGGUCCCAAGGGUAUGGCUGUUCGCCAUUUAAAGUGGUACGCGAGCUGGGUUUAGAACGUCGUGAGACAGUUCGGUCCCUAUCUGCCGUGGGCGCUGGAGAAUUGAGGGGGGCUGCUCCUAGUACGAGAGGACCGGAGUGGACGCAUCACUGGUGUUCGGGUUGUCAUGCCAAUGGCACUGCCCGGUAGCUAAAUGCGGAAGAGAUAAGUGCUGAAAGCAUCUAAGCACGAAACUUGCCCCGAGAUGAGUUCUCCCUGAGACUUUAAGUCUCCUGAAGGAACGUUGAAGACGACGACGUUGAUAGGCCGGGUGUGUAAGCGCAGCGAUGCGUUGAGCUAACCGGUACUAAUGAACCGUGAGGCUUAACCUUACAACGCCGAAG